GGGACAAAUGAUUGGGGUGAAGUCGUAACAAGGUAGCCGUAUCGGAAGGUGCGGCUGGAUCACCUCCUUUCUAAGGA
rnacentral:rRNA from 1 species